rnacentral:sRNA from 1 species
GAAAUGUUAUCAUAGCAUAUUGGUUGAGCGCUUGUGAUAAUUUAGGAGGUUCACGAGUUCAAUCCAUUCUUGGCGCAAAUUUUAAUAUAUUUUUAUUUUGAAACGACGUCGUUUCGCUUCUAACGGAAAAUGUUAACGAAAAGUUAACUCCGUUAUUUUGUUGUUAACGGAAAUUUAACGACAUGCCCAAAAUAGUAAAGUCAACGAAACUUAAUCAUUUUAUCAAAAGUCAGACGAAAUUUUAUAAUUUUAGCGGCAUUUCGGAAGUUCACGUUUUUUUUAUCCCAAAUUUAAAAGUUAAUGAUUUGGUUUGAUUGAAAUGUCCGGUUCUGGUUUGGUUUUCUUUUGUACCGGUUCUCAUAAUAA